AUAUGUACACUGUGUGUGUGUGUGUGUGUGUGUGUGUGUGUGUAGGUCGAGGCCUGGGGAAGACUGACUGACUCUCAACUCAGAUGCUCUGUAGCUGUGAACCCCGAGCUCAGCUCCUCUGUGGCGCUCAUCGUCCAGGGACACCACCUGCCCGACAGGUAUAACACCUGACACACACACACACACACACACUCUGAUCAUGUAGAUCUUGGAUGGAAGGGCUUCCUGAUAGCCCCGGUUGAUGGCUGUGCUUGUAUCCAGUAAGGAGUUGAUGAUGAAGGUGGUCCAGACUGUUCCACACUCGAAACCUUACCUGCCCACGCAGCUCAACGUCACAUCUCAGUUGAAUCAGUCACGCUCCAGUGCCAAUGGUCUGCUUGAGCUGCGCUCAGACUCCAGGGUCAGGGGGCAGGCGGAGCUGCGCUCAGACUCCAGGAUCAGAGGGCAUGCGGAGCUGCAUUCAAGCAGGAGGACGUUCUCGGCUCGGUGGGAGCUGAGGGUCACGGAGGGGGGCUACCGCCAAGCUAUGGAGCUCAACCACACAUACCCACAGGUAGCCACCCAGUUAGUGUACAAUUGGAAACACGGCCUCAGUCCCAAAAGAAGGCUUAUAUUCAGUGUUUGCAGAUUUGUAUGAACAACUUGUAAGCAGCCUGAGUCAGUUCAAACAGUUUACAACAAUUCCCCUUUUGAAGAUUUGAUUGCAUCAAAUAUGUGGUUCACUCAGAUCUGCAAAGAAUUUCGUUAUUGACAGAAAAUCUUCCUAACUUUCUGUAAACACAGAAGAAACCCUGAAUAACCGGCCUCACAUUUACGUCUUUCCUGAAUAACCUGGAGACAUUUACUGAACAUUGUUUGUUCUUAUACUCAGGUUCUUUACUGUAGGAAGUUACAGAUUAUAGUGGUGGUGGAGCCAUUAGGUUCUUUUCAUCUCAGAAACACUGAGGCCUCACAUUUGAAUAGAGCCAGACGUGUUUUCCACAGAGCCUUUUAUCUUAAUGGGGGGGUCAUUCCCCUACUCCAUGUACCAGGAUGAAACAUCUGUUCGUGUCGGCCAUUUGGCCCUUUUAUUCAUGUCACCAGGACCAUUAAAUGGGCCUCUCUUUUACUGUCCCUUUGUUAUAAAGUGAUAUCUAACUCUGUACUGGUUAGAGAAUCUGACUAAACUUCCAAGUGGCAUGUAAAAUCAAUUAAUUGGAUCUUUAAAAUCCUCCGUAUCUGUGUAUAACUCUCUAAAUUAAUUCCCCACACCAUCAACACAGCUGUUACUUGUGAUGUGUCCUAUAAGAUUAAUUGACCCAACUUUUAUAGCUCUUUUCGUUACAGAAAGAAUCUCGUGUUUGAAGAAACAAAACAAAAUAAUAAAAAUUGGACAAAAACGUCUCUCCCUGAGAUAAAGGUUUUCAGCUGUUAAUGCCUCCUGCAAAUAGAACAACGGAGAGGGAAACACAUGGCCUGAGCUGAGUGAGGGUGGCGGUGGUCAAUGAGGGACAUGAGUUGGUCCUCCGACUGCAGGCAGCACUGUGACACGCCGUUCAAGGUGUCGUCCCCCGAAUGUAAAUGUAACCGACCCCGACCCUAGUCCCUUUCAUGAUCAUGUGGCUGCCUGUGUUGGCAGCUGAAACCUCUGCCCCGGAACAUGGCUUCAACGACGUGGUAUGAGACAGCCAACUGGAGCCACCGGCUGCGGCAUGAAGCCGAGUGGGCCGGUCAGACGUUCAGCGUGGCGGGGCUCUGCGACACACCUCCAACACCGGACCUGGGAGACCACGUACUGAGGGGUACUAGAAAACACGACCCGAUUCCCCAGGCACCACCCCGUAUAAUGUCUUAUCAAUCUACGCGUGGUACCCCAGUUUUCCAUUUUCAAUAAGCACAUUUCUUUCUUUCUUUUUUUUUUUUUCUUUGGCUUUGUCAUUAUGGGGUAUUGCUUUGUAGAUGUGGUCGAUAGCGCACCAGAACGUGGAGAACGUGAAGGGGUCUGAAUACUUUCCCUGUCCUUAGUUCAGAUUGCCUCCGUGCCCCAGUGGUGUACUCUGGACCUGGCCAUAGAGCGCUCCCCCCGGGCCGGACUGGACAGCGCCGUGCUGGGCUGGAACAGACACGGGCAGCGGGAAGAGGUGAGGCUCUGCUCGCUCCGAGUAACACUUUAGAAAUGGAAGGUCGACAAAAUGUUGGGUCUCUGGUGUGAAUUCAUGGGUGUGUGUCUGCUGUGCAGCAUAUGUUAGCUGGUGUGUGUUGGUGUGUGUUGGCGUGUGUUGGCGUGUGUUGGCGUGCGUUGGCGUGUGUUGGCGUGUGUUGGAGUGUGUUGGCGUGUGUUGGCGUUUGUCAUGAUGGCAUACAUCAGAACCAAAUGGUGUAUUCAGUCACUGCCUCUUUAAAUGAACUUUCUUCUGAUUGGUGCCCUUUAGUCUUGUUCCCCUAAACCUCCGGACGUUGACCUGAAUCCUGACAUGGUGCUGCAAAAUGUCUGGGAAAGAGGGUAUUUUAGGCAGGUUUGUGAUGUGUGUUGUCAGGUCAGAGCUCUCUGUUCUUGGAGGGAUGUGGUGGCAGGCAGCGAGAUGACAGUGGAACUGAGACAGCCGUUCACCAAGACACUCUCCCAAAUGUACCUCCACACACUCUCCAACACCUCCACCACAGAGCAACGGAGCAACCAUCAGGUACCACACACACACACACACACACACACACACACAGAUACAGUACACACACACAUCCACUCUACUCAACUUAUAUUACCUGUCUCUAUAGCAUCAGUGUUAGUAUAAUUGAUGUGUGUGUGUGUGUGUGUGUGUGUGUGUGUGUGUGUGUGUGCGCUCAGGCCCUUGUCUCCUGGAACAGUGGGUCACCUGUGAACGUCUCCCUCACCCUCAGCCAGCAGUGGCAGGACAACUCCAGCAGGGGGCAGGCUUGUGCCCGCUUCUCAACUGCACAGGUGCAAUCAAUUGUACAGACAUAAUAUCCUAUGCCUUUACUGGGUGAAACCUGUCGCUAUGGUGAAACCUGUCUCUAUGGUAAAAGUUGACCAGGUUAUUUUCUUUGUGUGUGUCUUGUCUUCAUGCGUGUGAUCGGCAGGCUGUAGCCCCUUCCCCAUUGGCUGUUGAAGGCUGUGUCUCGGUGGCCAAGGAAGUGAAUACUUACUCCCAGAAUGCCGAGCUGAAGUGGGAGGAAAAGAGCCUUAGACAAGGCUUUAACUACCAGGUGCUGAUUGUCAUUAUAUAGGAUAGGGAUACAUGUGUUUUAUGCGUUGUUUUAUGGA
ensembl:lncRNA